rnacentral:rRNA from 1 species
CCUACGGGUGGCAGCAGUGAGGAAUAUUGGUCAAUGGACGCAAGUCUGAACCAGCCAUGCCGCGUGCAGGAAGACGGCUCUAUGAGUUGUAAACUGCUUUUGUACGAGGGUAAACGCAGAUACGCGUAUCUGUCUGAAAGUAUCGUACGAAUAAGGAUCGGCUAACUCCGUGCCAGCAGCCGCGGUAAUACGGAGGAUUCAAGCGUUAUCCGGAUUUAUUGGGUUUAAAGGGUGCGUAGGCGGUCGGAUAAGUUAGAGGUGAAAGCCCGAGGCUCAACUUCGGAAUUGCCUCUGAUACUGUUCGGCUAGAGAGUAGUUGCGGUAGGCGGAAGGUAGGGUGGAGCGGUGAAAUGCUUAGAGAUCAUACAGAACACCGAUUGCGAAGGCAGCUUACCAAGCUACUUCUGACGUGGAGGCACGAAAGCGUGGGGAGCAAACAGGAUUAGAUACCCCUGUAGUC